CUAGUAGGAGGCGUUCCCCCGGCGCCAUCUUGCUGGUGCUUACUCCUCCUCGGUUCUGGUUAACGAAUCAAUGGGCAAGGAGGAGGAGCGCGAGUCAAGACUGACAGCCUAACGAUGCUCGCGGAGCUCAGCGUGUCCAGGUUAGCUCAGAGCUAAGGAGCUAGGCUACAUGCUACCCGACGCUGCUAACCGGUUAGCGCUGUGCUGUAGCUGGUCGCGAUCUUUACGAACUCACUAGAGAGGUCCGUUAACUGUCCAGCCGAGCAUUGUUUUGACGGCAUAUGGUCCAUCUCCCACACUCCUGAUGACUUGAAGUGGUUCCAGAGCCUUUGGUACAUCGGCGCCAAUCAAUCUCACAGUCAAGUUCAGAUGAAGCACUGCAGCACCGGAUCUGUCCUCAGCAGCAACAUGGUGGAGAUCGGCAGCUUCAGGCUGGUCAUCACGAGGACGACCUGCACAAGCUUCAUCGGCCCAACACUUCACGUUUCUCCCUCAACUAAAGAUGGCCUGCAACUGUCUAGAGUUGGCAAUCAUUGCUAUGUAUCAUGGAUAAUAGAUUUAAUUUCUAUAUUCAUUAUGGUUGGUUAAAAAAAUUAUUAUCUUUUACAAUCUGAUACACUUAAGAUAAAAACCCAGUGCUUUAUUUUUCUAAUUCCCCAUAAGAGACAGAACACCGUUCUUCAGGCUCGUCCGUCCCUAAUAAAAUGACAGGAGACAUAAAAGAAUGGCAUUAUUGUAUAGGAAGUGUAACUUAUGAACAAAGUUUCUGUCCAAAAAAUUCUGUGGAUAUUCAACUCUGUAUUUGAAUUAAACAGUGCACUACCAAGACAA